UGAGACACAGUUCUGCCAGAACCAGCAUAUCCAGCCAAGCUUCCCGAUUUCUUGUCUUCUUUUUCUCUCUCUCCCCUUCUCUCUCUUGUUCUCGCUCUCAUUCACUUACUCUCCCAUUUUUUUGCCACCGUGCCAGAUAGAUUUAAAUGUAUCUGUUCAAGUGGAGAUAAUCCAUGCAAAUCAGAGGCACUGGCUCCCAGUGCUUGAUUCACAAAGAGAACUCAGCUUCAGGAGGUCACUCGUUCACAGCUGCUCCUCCCAUAAUAUUUUUCCCUCAUUGCAGAACUGCUGCAUGUAUACAGUGACUGAAAGGACUCAAUUUACUGCAACUGCAGCCCGGUUUUACUGACAACUUUCUUUAAAGGGGGACUUACCGUCCAUCUGUCUUGUAAAGGGAAUGAAUUUUAUGUAUUUGAAGUGAAAAAACAAUGGAAUAUGGAAGCAUAGUUUGCCAAAGCUUGCAAGAGAUACACACUCCAAAAUGCUGAGUACAGCAUUCAUGUUUACCCAGUGGUGACCCAGUGUCAGGAUGUUGCUAAGAAACCUCAUGCGAAGACCUCCCCAACUGUUCCACCAGAACAGAUUAUUCCUGUCAGGAGAAUGACUAAUCUAUACAGCACAUUUUAUGUGCAUAAAAUGAGGGAAAGCCAGAGCCAAUUUUUAUUUCCUAUGAACAUACGGGGGAGAGGAACUGCCUCAGAAAACACAUGGAAGAAAAACACAUUAAGUAAAACAAAGCAUCAUUGAGAUGUAUAUUAAUUCACAUUCAGAAUAUCUAAUCUUACAGGAAGAAUUAGACCAAGUGUCAUAUUGGAAUUACAUAUUUUUGACCCUUCCCUCUCCCCCCAUUAUCAUUUAGCCUUUUGGUAUCAUGGCAUUGGUGACUGGACAGCAGCUUGUUCUAAUUUCCAGAGUGUGUGGAAUGGCCUUGAUAGUUUCUUUGUGACGGGGUGAUGUCAUUGGUUAGCCAGCUUCCGCUGCACCCCAUACACUACCAAGAAGUUCCUCUCUGUAUUAGUUAUACCUUCACCUGCCAAGAAAAGAAAACACAUAGCUUCCUUUCGUCUUCAGUGAAACAAAGUGGUUUAGACACAGUUUGGAGGAGGACUGCCAGAAACAACAAAAAAGGCUUUAACUUAAUAACGUUUCCAUAUAGUUAGGUGCUCCUCUAGAAUAUAUGACUUUAAUUGAUUUUUACCUUUUUUUAUGGAACACAACUGGUGUACUGGAAAUUGUUCUUUGGCAUAUUACCAGAAUUUAAAAAGAAAAGAUAUGAAGUUUAUGAAAGCUGGAGCUAUUAAAUCAAUAUUUUCCAGUUAUUUUUGAGCCCUUCUGCAAAUAACCCAAUGAUCACUAUUAAAGAAAAAUAAACUUAAUUUCAUCUGAGGUAAAGCCUUUGUCUAUUUUAUCUGUGACAGAGAUCCUAAUAGUAAAACCAUUCAAUAAAACCCUAUUGGA